UUAAAUUAACACAUAGAAUUACAAGUUGAUGAGAACAAGAAUCGACCAAUGCUCUGCUACCAAUUCCAUCAUUAGAGAGGAGGCCGCCCCCUGGUGUGGGAGGUCUGCCUCUAUUUCUUUCCCAGGCAGAGUCGUCUCUUUCGCCUUAUUGCAGUUAUUAUGGGCUCGCCUAGCCCUGGCGAAGAACAGGUAGAGUCUUCUAGGGCACAACCUGCAAGUGAUCGUGUAGGAGGGCGUGAGAAACAAGAGAGGUCUUUUAAGCAAGUGAUCGAGCAUGGAUUUAGGGCGCUGAAAGGAGCCAAAUUUCUCAGGAUUUUGCUCGACCCAGCAACGACCUCCUCGAAGGACGAAGAUGGAGGUCAACCUUAUCCUCAAGAUUGAUGAAGAAAAUUUCCAGGAGCUCCUUAAUGAAGGAUCAACCAGGAUGUUGGAAAAAGAAAUAUCCCAUGGGUUUACAAUCAACAGGCCACUAGAUGAUGAAGAUGAAUUCAACACUACUUUGAAGCAACUAAUGGUCCAGACUUUGAAGAUGCAAGGGAAAGGGAAAGAGAAGAUGGGAGAACCCUCCUUUGGUGCAGGUACAAGGGUAGAGCCAAGUGAACGUACUUCAUACACUGACUAGCCAAUAGAGAGAAAGCAUUUUGAUUGUGCACUCCCUCUAGCUGUUACCCCAAUAUGCACUGUGAUAGAUUUGGUGGACGAUGAUGAAGUUAAUUUGGAGAUGGAGUCACUACCUCCUCCGAUACCGCCUUCUACUACUUUGCAUGAGCCAACCGCCACUUUUGAGUUUGAUAAGAAAGUACUAAAAUGGGUUGACAGUCCAUAGGGAUGGAUUGCAAGGGUAGAAUCUACUAGGUGAUGCUUUUUGGAGGGUAGUCAUUUUGAAAUAUUUUGUAUGUAACUCCGUAUUAUUUGAUGAUAUAACUGGUCGAACUACCUUGUGAGAUC